UGGGUAAUAUAUAUCCCCAAAUCUUGAAUGC
rnacentral:piRNA from 1 species